AAAGCAGCAAAAAUUGGACCCUAA
rnacentral:siRNA from 1 species